rnacentral:rRNA from 2 species
UGCAUAUCAAAAAGCGGAGGAAAAGAAACCAACCGGGAUUGCCUCAGUAACGGCGAGUGAAGCGGCAAAAGCUCAAAUUUGGAAUCUAGGGCGCCCUCGGCGUCCGAGUUGUAAUUUGAAGACUCUAUCUUGGGAGGCGGCGCUGUCGAAGUUCCUUGGAACAGGACGUCACAGAGGGUGAGAAUCCCGUGCGAUGGCAGCCGCGGACCAUGUAAGUUAGUGUCGACGAGUCGAGUUGUUUGGGAAUGCAGCUCUAAGUGGGUGGUAAACUCCAUCUAAAGCUAAAUAUUGGCGAGAGACCGAUAGCGAACAAGUACAGUGAUGGAAAGAUGAAAAGAACUUUGAAAAGAGAGUGAAAAAGUACGUGAAAUUGUUGAAAGGGAAGGGCUUGAGAUCAGACAUGCCUUCGGGCAGGCCAGCAUCAGCUGGAAGGGGCAGACAAGGGCGCCGCAAUGUGGCCUGGCUUCGGCGAGGUGUUAUAGGCGGCGUCGAUGUGUCCACUUCCGGCUGAGGACCGCGCUUCGGCAAGGAUGCUGGCGUAAUGAUCCCCAGCCGCCCGUCUUG